GUGACUGAAGGGCCUGCGGAUGAGGUCAUUCGACCACGGCCGCAGGGGUCUUCACCUGUCUACGAAUACACGACUGAGGCUGCCGACUUUGGACUCCAGGUGAGCCUGCUGGGCAGAGCCCCACAGGCACCCAGGUCUCCUCCUGCAUCGCCCUGUGUGGGCAACUCACGCAUGUCUGUGCAGCCUUGCUGCCCUGCCCCGCUGCCCACUGGGCAGUGCCCAUUCAGAUGUCCUCUCAGACUCCUCUGUGCCCUUGGCUCCCUCCCUGCGGCUGGCCAGGGCACAGUGGGAUGGAGGUGCCCUGCAGCUCUUGUGAGCAUGCGUAUGGGCUGAUGGGGACAGGCCUCGUGUUACUGUGUUUGUGUUUCAGGGGCACAGGGUGUGUGCAUCCCUGCACCUGUGUAACACACUCAUGCUGUCUUUGGGGACAGGGCCCCAUGGCUACCUCUGAAGACAAGGACUCGGGGAAGGGAUCAGAGGAGGCAUGUCUAUGAAAGGAUUCAUUUUUGUACAAUUUGAAUUUCUUAUCUCCCUCCAUACAAAACUCCAGUUGCUGUGGGGCUUCCCUAUGGGCGCUGUGGGCUGUAGGCUGGGCCCUGUUGGGAAGCAGGAAGGCCGAGAGUUGUCUUUUCUCUGUGGAUGUGCCUGGAGGAACUCGGCUGCCUCUGCACACAGCUGUGUGUUGGAAGUUCUGGGCCCCUCUGAAGGGAGGGCUCCUGGUCUGGCACCAGCCUACCUGUGCCCCUCCCUGUCCCUGAGCUGGGGCAGGUGCCUAACUCCCAACACUUGUGGCUGCAGGAAGACGCCCCCGGCAGGCAAGGUUCUGCUGGGAGACGGAGAUCCUGGUGGAAGCGAGAUUCAGGGGACUCACGGACAUUUUUCAGGAUGAGUCGUCCAGAGGCUGUCCAGGAGGCAACAGAGGUGACGCUGAAGACAGAGGUGGAGGCAGGAGCCAGUGGCUACAGUGUCACAGGUGGUGGGGACCAGGGGAUCUUCGUCAAGCAAGUGCUGAAGGACUCCUCAGCCGCCAAGCUUUUUAACUUGAGAGAAGGGGAUCAGCUGCUCAGUACAACCGUGUUCUUUGACAACAUAAAAUAUGAAGAUGCUCUCAAAAUCCUUCAAUAUUCAGAGCCGUACAAGGUUCAGUUCAAAAUCAGACGGCAGCUCCCUGCCCCACAGGAUGAAGAGUGGGCUUCCAGCGAUGCCCAGCAUGGCCCACAGGGCAAGGAGAAGGAGGACACGGAUGUUGCUGAUGGGUGCAGAGAGACCCCCACGAAAACUCUGGAAGGAGAUGGGGACCAAGAGAGACUCAUCUCCAAACCCAGGGUGGGGAGAAGCAGGCAGACCCAGAGGGAGAGGCUCUCUUGGCCAAAAUUUCAAUCCAUAAAGAGCAAGCGGGGGCCAGGACCCCAGAGGUCACACAGCUCAUCAGAGGCCUACGAGCCCAGGGACGCACAUGACGUGUCCCCUACAAGCACAGACACAGAGGCCCAGCUCACGGUGGAGCGCCAAGAGCAGAAGGCAGGGCCGGGCAGCCAGAGGAGGCGGAAGUUCCUCAACCUGAGAUUCAGGACAGGCUCAGGACAGGGCCCUUCAUCGACAGGACAGCCAGGCAGGGGGUCCCAGAGUGGGGUGGGCCGUGCUGGGGUCCUGGAAGAGUUGGGGCCCUGGGGUGUUAGCCUCGAGGACACUGGGGCUGCCACAGGCAGCAGGAGAGAGGAGAGGGCAGAACAGGAUCGAGAAGUGAUGCCUGCUCAGAGCAUGCAGUUGCCCACAGAGCUCGGCGACCCUAGACUUUGCGAGGGAACCCCUCAGGAAGGGGGACUCAGGGCAGCCAGGCUCCACGGAAAGACCCUGGAGGGGCAGGCACAGGAGACAGCAGUGGCCCAGAGGAAGCCCAGGGCCCAGCCAACUCCUGGAAUGAGCUGGGAGGGUGAAGGCGAGGGACUGCAGAGCCUGGAAAUCGGGAUCGCCAGACUGUCCUUGAGAGACACAACCGAAGGAGGCACACAGAUUGGCCCACCAGAAAUUAGGGUGCGAAUACACGAUUUAAAGACACCAAAAUUUGCAUUUUCCACAGAAAAAGAGCCAGAAGGAGAAAGGCGCCUUAGUACCCCACAGCGAGGGAAGAGACAGGAUGCGUCCUCAAAAGCGGGUACUGGCCUGAAGGGUGAGGAGGUGGAAGGAGCAGGGUGGGUGCCGGGCAGGGAACCACCCACACAUGCAGAAGCACAGGAGGGUGAAGGAGAUGGAGAGGAAGGACUACAGAGGACAGGGAUCACUGAGGAACAGGACAAGGGCGGGGAAGACACAGAAGGACAGAUAAGAAUGCCCAAGUUCAAGAUACCCUCCUUAGGAUGGUCGCCAAGCAAGCACACAAAGACAGGCAGAGAAAAAGCCACAGAAGACACAGAGCAGGGAAAGGAAGGAGAGGCCACAGCAACAGCUGAUAGAAGAGAACAGAGACGCACAGAGGAAGGAUUAAAAGACAAAGAAGACAGUGACUCAAUGACAAACACAACAAAAAUACAACUAAUACACGACGAAAAACGCUUAAAAAAGGAACAAAUUCUGAAAGAAAAGGAAGUGGCCACCAAAGACAGCAAGUUCAAAAUGCCCAAGUUCAAGAUGCCAUCGUUCGGGGCUUCAGCCCCAGUCAAGUCCAUGGAGGCCUCGGUGGAUGUGUCUGCGCUGAAGGUGGAGGCCGACGUGAGCCUCCCCUCCAUGCAGGGGGACCUCAAGACUACUGACCUCAGUGUUCAGACCCCUUCCGCUCACCUGGAGGUCCAGGACGGCCAAGUGGACAUGAAACUCUCGGAGGGCCCCCUGCCUGAGGGAGCCAGCCUCAAAGGGCACCUCCCCAAGGUGCAGAGGCCCAGUUUGAAGAUGCCCAAAGUGGACCUCAAGGGCCCCAAGCUGGACCUGAAAGGUCCCAAGGCAGACAUCACGGCCUGCGACGUGGACGUGUCUCUGCCCAGGGUGGAGGUGGACGUCCAGGCCCCGGGCGCCAAGCUGGAUGGCGCACAGCUGGAGGGGGACCUGACCCUGGCCGAAAAGGACGUGACUGCCAAAGACAGGAAGUUCAAAAUGCCCAAGUUCAAGAUGCCCUCCUUCGGGGUAUCGGCCCCAGGCAAGUCCAUCGAGGCCUCGGUGGAUGUGUCUGAGCCGAAGGUGGAAGCUGAUGUGAGCCUCCCCUCCAUGCAGGGGGACCUCAAGACCACUGACCUCAGCAUUCAGUCCCCUUCCGCCGACCUGGAGGUCCAGGCUGGCCAAGUGGACGUGAAACUCCCGGAGGGCCCCCUGCCCGAGGGAGCCGGCUUCAAAGGGCACCUCCCCAAGGCGCAGAUGCCCAGUUUGAAGAUGCCCAAAGUGGCCCUCAAGGGCCCCCAGAUGGACGUCAAGGGCCCCAAGCUGGACCUGAAAGGCCCCAAGGCGGAGGUGAUGGCCCCCAAUGUGGAGGUGUCUCAGCCCAGCGUGGAGGUGGAUGUCGAGGCCCCGGGAGCCAAGCUGGAUGGUGCGUGGCUGGAGGGGGACCUGUCCAUGGCCGACAAGGAUGUGACUACCAAAGACAGCAGGUUCAAAAUGCCCAAGUUCAAGAUGCCGUCGUUCGGGGUGUCUGCGCCAGGCAAGUCCAUCGAGGCCUCGGUGGAUGUGUCUGCGCCGAAGGUGGAGGCCGACGUGAGCCUCUCCUCCAUGCAGGGGGACCUCAAGGCCACUGACCUCAGCAUUCAGCCCCCUUCCGCUGACCUGGAGGUCCAGGCUGGCCAAGUGGACGUGAAACUCCCAGAGGGCCCUAUGUCCGAGGGAGCUGGCCUCAAAGGGCACCUGCCCAAGGUGCAGAUGCCCAGUUUCAAGAUGCCUGAAGUGGACCUCAAGGGCCCCCAGAUAGAUGUUAAGGGCCCUAAGCUGGACCUGAAAGGCCCCAAGGCGGAAGUGACAGCCCCCGAUGUGAAGAUGUCUCUGUCCAGCAUGGAGGUGGACGUCCAGGCCCCGAGAGCGAAGCUGGAUGGUGCGCGGCUGGAGGGGGACCUGUCCCUGGCCGACAAGGGCGUGACUGCCAAAGACAGCAAGUUCAAAAUGCCCAAAUUCAAGAUGCCGUCGUUCGGGGUAUCGGCCCCAGGCAAGUCCAUCGAGGCCUCGGUGGAUGUGCCUGCACCCAAGGUGGAGGCCGAUGUGAGUCUCCCCUCCAUGCAGGGGGACCUCAAGACCACUGACCUCAGCAUUCAGCCCCCUUCCACUGACCUGGAGCUCCAGGCUGGCCAAUUGGACGUGAAACUCCCGGAGGGCCCCGUGCCCGAGGGAGCCGGCCUCAAAGGGCACCUGCCCAAGCUUCAGAUGCCCAGUUUCAAGGUGCCCAAAUUGGACCUCAAGGGCCCUGAAAUAGACAUCAAGGGCCCGAAGCUGGACCUAAAAGACCCCAAGGUGGAAGUCACAGCCCCUGAUGUGGAGGUUUCUCUGCCCAGUGUGGAGGUGGACGUCGAGGCCCCAGGAGCCAAGCUGGAUGGUGCACAGCUGGAGGAGGACAUGUCCCUGGCUGACAAGGACAUGACUACCAAAGACAGCAAGUUCAAAAUGCCCAAGUUCAAGAUGCCCUCCUUCGGGGUGUCUGCCCCAGGCAAGUCCAUCGAGGCCUCCGUGGACCUGUCUGCACCCAAGGUGGAGGCCGACAUGAGCCUCCCCUCCAUGCAGGGGGACCUCAAGACCACUGACCUCAGCAUUCAGCCCCCUUCCACUGACCUGGAGCUCCAGGCUGGCC
ensembl:lincRNA